UAUGGUCAUAUCACAUUAUAACACCAAUUCUCAUAUGACCACCGAUUAAGCAAUGUUAAGCCUGGUCAGUACCUAGGUGGGUGACCGCUGGGGAAUACCAGAUGCUGU
rnacentral:rRNA from 1 species